AACGAACGCUGGCGGCAUGCCUAACACAUGCAAGUCGAACGAGACCUUCGGGUCUAGUGGCGCACGGGUGCGUAACGCGUGGGAAUCUGCUCUUGGGUUCGGAAUAACGUUUGGAAACGAACGCUAAUACCGGAUGAUGUCUUCGGACCAAAGAUUUAUCGCCCAGGGAUGAGCCCGCGUAGGAUUAGCUUGUUGGUGAGGUAAAGGCUCACCAAGGCGACGAUCCUUAGCUGGUCUGAGAGGAUGAUCAGCCACACUGGGACUGAGACACGGCCCAGACUCCUACGGGAGGCAGCAGUGGGGAAUAUUGGACAAUGGGCGAAAGCCUGAUCCAGCAAUGCCGCGUGAGUGAUGAAGGCCUUAGGGUUGUAAAGCUCUUUUACCCGGGAUGAUAAUGACAGUACCGGGAGAAUAAGCCCCGGCUAACUCCGUGCCAGCCGCCGCCGUAAGAC
rnacentral:rRNA from 1 species